AUUGAACGCUGGCGGCAGGCCUAACACAUGCAAGUCGAGCGAGCGGCGGACGGGUGAGUAAUGUAUGGGGACUGCCCGAUAGAGGGGGAUAACUACUGGAAACGGUGGCUAAUACCGCAUACUAUCGGAUAACCCAUAUUGGAUUAGCUAGUAGGUGGGGUAAAGGCUCACCUAGGCGACGAUCGCUAGCUGGUCUGAGAGGGUGAUCAGCCACAAUGGGACUGAGACACGGCCCAGACGCCUACGGAGGCAGCAGUGGGGAAUAUUGCACAAUGGGCGAAAGCCUGAUGCAGCAAUGCCGCGUGUAUGAAGAAGGCCUUAGGGUUGUAAAGUUCUGUUAGCGGGGAGGCGUUACCCGAAGAGGAAGCACCGGCUAACUCCGUGCCAGCCGCCGCGGUAAUUC
rnacentral:rRNA from 1 species